UAACAGGAUUAGAUACCCUGGUAGUCCACGCCGUAAACGAUGAUAACUAGCUGUCCGGGCACUUGGUGCUUGGGUGGCGCAGCUAACGCAUUAAGUUAUCCGCCUGGGGAGUACGGCCGCAAGGUUAAAACUCAAAGGAAUUGACGGGGGCCUGCACAAGCGGUGGAGCGUGUGGUUUAAUUCGAAGCAACGCGCAGAACCUUACCAGCGUUUGACAUGUCCGGACGAUUUCCAGAGAUGGAUUUCUUCCCUUCGGGGACUGGAACACAGGUGCUGCAUGGCUGUCGUCAGCUCGUGUCGUGAGAUGUUGGGUUAAGUCCCGCAACGAGCGCAACCCUCGCCUUUAGUUACCAUCAUUUGGUUGGGUACUCUAAAGGAACCGCCGGUGAUAAGCCGGAGGAAGGUGGGGAUGACGUCAAGUCCUCAUGGCCCUUACGCGCUGGGCUACACACGUGCUACAAUGGCAACUACAGUGGGCAGCGACCCUGCGAGGGCGAGCUAAUCCCCAAAAGUUGUCUCAGUUCGGAUUGUUCUCUGCAACUCGAGAGCAUGAAGGCGGAAUCGCUAGUAAUCGCGGAUCAGCAUGCCGCGGUGAAUACGUUCCCAGGCCUUGUACACACCGCCCGUCACACCAUGGGAGUUGGAUUCACCCGAAGGCGUUGCGCCAACCCGCAAGGGAAGCAGGCGACCACGGUGGGUUCAGCGACUGGGGUGAAGUCGUAACAAGGUAACCA
rnacentral:rRNA from 1 species